ACCGAGACGAAGCGACCGCUCGUGUACGGGCUAUCCUGCCAAGGGUAUCGCCCGGUAGCGAUGUCGCGCGGAGAUAACCGCUGAAAGCAUCUAAGUGGGAAACUCUUCCCAAGAUGAACACUCCUGGGGCAUAAGCCCCCUCAAGGGCCCAGGGAGACUACCUGGUUGAUAGGGCGCAGAUGUACGGAGGGCAACCUCUUCAGUCGAGCGCUACUAAUCGCCCGUGAAGUUUGAUCUC
rnacentral:rRNA from 1 species